GUCUACAGCCAUACCACCCUGAACGCGCCCAAUCUCGUCUGAUCUCAGAAGCUAAGCAGGGUUGGGCCUGGUUAGUUCUUGGAUGGGAGACCAUGCUUGGUGCUCUUUUAGUGAUAAAAU
rnacentral:rRNA from 1 species